UGUUCAGUAUGUAUUAUGUAGGUCACAACCUUCUCUGUCAAUAAACAAUACAAGACAAAAAGAGGACAGGCCUGCCUGUGCUAAAACAACAGACAAGCAUAGUAACAAUUCAAAUAUACAAUCUAAAUAGUCUGCCAAUUUAAAUCUUCUAUUGCAUAAAAACUUAUUGUUGAUAAAUGUAAUCUGCAAUUUCCUAUUGUAGUGAUCAUCCAGCUGUUAGCUCUAAAGUGCAAAGGGCUAACAUUGCGGUAACGCAACACAAAUAUGAGCAGCAGCCACCUGUGGAGUGGAGCUGCCUUAUAUCACACGUGGAAUUGUGCGCAACCUUGCCGCUUAGCUCUCUGCGUGACUGUAGUCGUUAGCAGUAACUGCAACACAGCAGCACGAUUAGUUGUCUGUGUAACUAUUAAUGGCGAGCUAGUGGCACGCUAACGGCUAUAGGGAAUACAGGAGCAAAGCUAUCUGCCAAACAACUCCAGAUGGAGAAACCCCGAAAACCCGCUCGAGAGGUCCUGGCAACAACUCUCUGGUUGUAGCCGUUAUCAUGCCACUAGCGUUCCCUUCAUUGUGUAGUUACAGCAACUCAGAGCAGCACAUUUCAAUAGAACAAAAGCUUGAUCCUGUAGCUUGCCUGAUGCCUGUAGCUGCUCGAAGGCCCAUAGCUAUUAGCUGCACAUGUGUGUGAUUGCAGCACCCCACAGCAGCACAUUUCAACAGGUUGACUGCUCCUUGGCUGUAGCCGCUAGCAUGGCACUAGCUAUAUGAUAUAUAUAUGCCUAUCAAGCAUCUACUUACGCAUUAGAAACGCAUUUCUACAACAGGAGCCGUGAAGCAAACCCAGAAUUGUACUAGGCACGCUCAUUCUUGAAGCAGUCCAAAGUGAAAUGAAAUGCACAUAUAUAUAUAAAUGCUGAGGCACUGUUGCCGGCACCAGUCCAUUUAAAAUAAAAGUAAUCCUCAAAAUCCCUAUGUGUUUAUCAGUUAGUAUAGUGAAUAGGUUUUGGUGUGGGUUAAAACACCCAAGAAUGGAGCACUUUUAAUGACAGACAGGUUUUGCUGGAAGGAGUCCCACUCUGAGGUCGUGGUGGGGGACAUUUCAGUGAAUCAUUAUCACUAUUCCAGCAGAGCAUCAGACACAAUGUGUAAACCCAUUCUCAUUGGAUUGACAAAUUUUCUCCUCCCUUUUGCAAAACAGUUAACACGUCGUUCAAACAGUUUAAAUUCCAUUGUUUUAGCUUUGGUGACCAAAGAGGAACCAUCUGUUCCCAACUAUUACUGUAGAAACCAGUAAGAGCAGUAUGACCUCACCAUACUGUAGCACCUGUUUGUCACUCCUCCACAAAAAUCUUCUAUUUGCUACCAGCUUUUAGGCCUUAAAAUGGUGCCAGGUCUGUGUUGUUCUUUACCAGCAUGGAUGGAGGAGGUCUAAAGCAGAGACUGAAUAUCAGUAGUGGCUGUGUCUCAUCCUCCAAUAGAUUUGACUGUAUGUUAGUUUUCUGUAAUAUUUACAAUAUUUCAGUCUGCCACAGUUUGAAAAAUGAAUGUCAGGGAUUCAAUACAGUAAAUCAAAGAAUUUCUUCAUCUGGAUUCAAUUCUUUGCAUAAAAGGUCUAUUUGACAUAAGCUACAAAGACAACAAAUAGCAACAGGCUCCAAUGACAAUCAAUGAAGCACUCAUUCACACUGAGAUCAGUGGUUUUUUUUUUCUGCUGUCUCCUGUGUUAUGACUGAUUGGUCGUUGGUGGUGAUUGGAGUCGCUCGUGUGAACUGUGUUGUUUCAUUGGACGGCUGCGUCAAAGUGACCAACAAAAACUGUAAUAAAUUUGCAUGUAGUUUUAAAGAAACCCUUCCCUCCUGAGAUUUUUUUUACUGUAUGCUGUUGAAAGAAACAUUUAAGCUAAAAUAAUUAAUAAUGGAGAGUCAUACAAAAUAUUACAGUAUUUUAGCUACUGUAUGUUCAAGGGCACCAGUAAUUUCCUGUUACAGUCUAGGGCAUAAAUAAGUGUAUUUAGCCUAUUGACAUGUAGUUAGAACAGUUAUACCACAAGUCUGAAUGACCCUGAACAGUCUGUGGUUGUGUGCUGUACACAGGCUGUGGGUCCCACACCUGUGGCUUUUGGAAGCAUUGCACUUUUGUCAUGAAGCUCCCUGUUCACAGAAAAAUGCUGUUUAUUAUGUGCAUGUACUGUAACAAAAGCUAGUAAUAAUGUAAACAGGUCAGAGUUGUGAGGGUAGAGAUAUUGAAACAAACAUAAGAACUGCUAUUGAUAAACCAAAUGCACAUUUACUUGUGCGGAAAGAUAAUUAAAAGGAAUGUUCCUCAGAUUCAAGAUUUAUAUGUGCAGUUCAGCUUUAAUUUAGUUUAAAAGAAAAAUUUGACUCUUGAGGCACAAUUAAUGUUACAAAACCUGUAAUACAAUACCAUAAUCUAAUAACAUUCUUUACUAGCUGGAAUGCGUCUUUGAACGUAUGCAUAAAAUGUGAAUCCACAGUCGUCAUUCACGUUUGUAGACCAAAUAAUUCCACCCUUCAUUGACAGAUGACGUCAGACAUAUUCUUUUUUUUUUUUUUUUUUUUCAUGUUUUGAGUAGUGCCUGCGUCGUUCUAACGUCCUAUAAAUAGGGACACAAAAAACAAGUGUCACAGUCUUACCUGGGAUCUUACGUGGAACAUCAGCGGCACCUGCAUAUAAAAUCACAGCUUUGUUUCAAGGAAUUAACAGCAGUUUUCUAUCAUUUGAACACACAGGGACAUCUACAGGUAUGAACACCAGAGUACUUGUCACUGUCCUGUUUAUGGUAAUUGUUGCCGUAAACACAGCAACAGCUACAACUGGAUUUGUCAUGAACCAAACGCCUACUCCUCUCAAUGUAGCUGUGUCUAAUCAAAAGUGUAACAUAACAAAGUACUGUGGAUCCCUGCCCUCUUCAUGCAACCCUUCCUCACAAAGCUGCUACUUUGCCUCUGCACAGCCAAAUGCAGCUGGUUUUUUGUUUGAGCUUUCAGGGAAUGCAACUGGCUACAUCGCAGCCACAGUGACUUCUAACUCUGCAUUUGGAAACAAUGAAACAACCUACAUCUGCGCAAGCGGCAGCUCAACUGUUGAUUUCUACACUGCUCUGCUCAACAACAUGACACUGAUCUCAGCAAAUCUGAGCGUGACCUCUGUGAACGGCACAAACAAUGGAAUCAUUACCCAGUGCCUAAUUAAUACCACAAUAAUAAGUGCUACUCUGGUAAACAUCUACAAUGGAUCCUACAAUAGCACUACUCGUGACUUGGGAAACCUCAACUUCCUGUUCCAGAUUGACGUUAGACCUCCGUUAGGUAACAGUACAGGAUCAAAUGACGGCAUCACCAUCCAGCAUUCAAUGACACAAGCUCUGCUGAUCACUGCAGGUGUGCUGGUCCUGGCGUUGAUGUGAGGAAAGUGAAGAAGUGGUACAAAUGUAUUAGAGAUGGAAGUAUGGGUGAUGGGGGUUGUUUAUUCUUCCACAGCCUUCUGACUUCUUUCAUGUCUGAAACCAGUGAGAGAAUUAAGAUUAGUUUUCCAAUUUAAAGUGUAUGUGAUUUAUUCUAUUAUUUUAUUCUAUUAUUAUUAUGUAAGUCAGACCUACAGUAAUCACAGAAAUUAUUUCUGCUUGGUUUCCUAGUUUAAAUUUUUUAAGUAAACCAGCGCCUGGUUUUCAGAACGUGAAUUCAUGUUUAACACACAUUCUGGAUACGGGGUCACCUUAGUACCACUGGAUAUGAAGUGAUGAAUGAAUAUGUCCUCUGUGUGCAUGUUACUUCCUUACACAAUCAUCCAUUUAAAUGUUAUUUACGUUUUUUACUUGUCUGUUUUUGCAAUUUUUUGUACACCAAUUAAAAUGAAAGGUGUGACAAUGUUAGCAGUUGUAAUGGAUAUUUGUAAAGUUCACAGUGAUAGACAGUUUUCAGCUGGUUUAACAUUUACUGGUUUACGUUCCUUCACUACUUACUGGGAUUCUGUAAGAGGCCUUCAGGUCCUGUUGUUUUAUUAAAUGGCUGCAUCACAGCCUACACCACACACACCAUUAGUUAAUAUUGGCUACUGGCCCUUCACCAGCAAACACCUGCUGGAGUACACGUCCCGUAACAUGGUUUAACAAGCACAGAAGCAUUUUUGCUAACCUGCCUACAGGUUUGCAGGAAUAUAGAUUUAAACUGCACUGAAGUUAGGUGGAAAAUAAAAGUUGUAUUGAGGUAUGUUGUCCAAUUUAGCUGGCUAAGUGAUAAAUCACAGAUUAAACAACAAUACUUAGCAUUAUGUGUAAUGCUUAGCCAACGUUUUCCUCAACUUGGCCCAGCCAAGUUGGCCGCUAUUGUCUUAAAAGUAAAUAUCCUUGUUUUGCCAGUAUUUAUUCUCAUUUCCCCAUUUGUAAUAUUUAACAACUGUACAUUCAUAACUAUUGACUUCAUGUUAUUAUGCGAGUUAUUUUAUUUUUUUACAAUUAGUUAAAAUAAAAUUGACUUUAUUAAACAGUAAACUUACAACUCAUAAUAAUCUGGGAAUACCUGAAGGCAUAAAGGUAUGGUGUAUUAAACCUGUAGGUUACUUUGAUGUUGUCAUUUCUGUGUAUUAACUGGUGACUGUCAGCGAGUCCGUAGCCAUCAGUACUGUUUUUGAUGGACAUGACACAGAUGUUAGUUAUUACUGAUCGAAGCCACUGAUAUGCAACUAAGAUCACAGAGCAACUAUUUAUAACUAUUUUUGUAAAAAAAAAAUUGUAACUAUUUAAAAUUACUUUAAAAGCAUGAUGGAAUCCCUUAUGAUGGAUUUGUGACUCUUUAAAACACUUUGCAAUAAUUGAAAUGCUAUGCUGAAGUUCCGAGUUUUGGGAGCAAUGGCAAGGCGUGUUCCAGCUUGUAUGUAUUCAUUAUUAUGAUAUAUAUAUAAGUUCAGUGCAGCUACAGCAGCUAAAUACAUAUAUUUGCAUUAUUUUUAUUGAGCCUUAAAUUUGCAUGUAGUUUAAAAGGAACCCUUCCCUGGCCCAGAUUUUUUUUCUGUAUGCUAUUGAAACAAACAUUUAAGAUAAAAUUAGUCAAUAGACUAGAGACAGAGAUAAGUGUCAUACAAAAUAUCACAGUACUGUAUUUCAACUACUAUACAUUCAGGGGCACCAGUAAUUUCCUGUUACAAUCAAAGGCAUAAAUACGUGUAUUUAGCCUAUUGACAUGUUGGUACAACAGUUACACCACAAGUCUGAAUGACCCUGAACAGUCUGUGGUUGUGUGCUGUACACAGGCUGUGGCUCCCACACCUGUGGCUUAUGGCAGCGUUGCACUUUUGUCAUGCAGCUCCUUGUUUACAGAAAAAUGCUGUUUGUUAUGUGCAUGUACUGUAACAAAAGCUAGUUAUAAUGUAAACAGGUCAGAGUUGUGAGGGUAGAGAUAUUGAAACAAACAUAAGAACGGCUAAUGAUAAACCAAUAUCUGAAAUUGUGUUAAUAACAGGUCGGACUGGCCACCACACCAGCUGCUGCCACACCCUCACAAAACCACAUCUCUAUUUAUUAUACAGUCAAAACUUUUUAAGGACAUUUGCUUUGGUGAAGGUGUGUGGAAAGUUAAUGGAAAGGAAUUUUGUUCAGAUUUAAGAAAUGCAAGGAAAUUUAGUUUAAAAGAAAAAAGACUCUUGAGGCACAAUUAAUGUUACAAAACCUAUGUUGCAAUACUAAAAUCUAAUAACAUUUAUUAUUGUACUAGCUUGAAUGUGUCCAUUUGAACAUACAGUAUGCAUAAAAUGUGAAACCACAACAUGUGUCAUCAUUCACAUUCUUAGACUCAUUCAAAUGAAUCCACCCUUCAUUGACAGAUGACGUCAGACAUAAUGUUUUUGUCAUGCUCAGAACAGUUCCUGCGUCCUUCUAUUAUCCUAUAAAUAGAGACACAUAAAACAAUCGCCACAUUCAUACCUGGGACCUGACUUGCAACAUCAGAGGCACCUGAAUAUAAAACCAGAGCUUUCUUUCAAGGAAUUAACAACAGUUUUUCAUCAUUUGAACACACAAGAACAUCUACAGGUAUGAACACCAGAGUACUUGUCACUGUCCUGUUUAUGGUAAUUGUUGCCGUAAACAAAGCAACAGCUACAACUGGAUUUAUCAUGAACCAAACGCCUACUCCUCUCAAUGUAGCUGUGUCUAAUCAAAAGUGUAACAUGACAAAGUACUGUGGAUCCCUGCCCUCUUCAUGCAACCCUUC